UACGAAGGGGGCUAGCGUUGUUCGGAAUCACUGGGCGUAAAGCGCACGUAGGCGGCUUUCUAAGUCAGGGGUGAAAUCCUGGAGCUCAACUCCAGAACUGCCUUUGAUACUGGAGAGCUUGAGUCCGGAAGAGGUGAGUGGAACUCCGAGUGUAGAGGUGAAAUUCGUAGAUAUUCGGAAGAACACCAGUGGCGAAGGCGGCUCACUGGUCCGGUACUGACGCUGAUGUGCGAAAGCGUGGGGAGCAAACAGG
rnacentral:rRNA from 1 species